CCCUCAGCUGCAUCCUCCCACAGGCCCCCACUCAGAUUGCAGGGCUGGUCCUCAGCCGCUGGCUGGCAGCUGACAAAACCACAGGCCAAUCCCCGCUGGCAGGAUGGGGACAGGCUGACAAUUCCAGGUCCUAACUGCACGGUCUUGCAUUUCCUUCUCUGAAGACUCAGGUGUGGAAUGAGCGGGGCUGUGGGUGCAGCGUGGGCGAGACUCCUCUCAGCCUCCCUGGGCCUGAUCAAGGUCACCGACCCCCAGCUGUAGUCCCCAAGACUGGCUCCUGAUGGCUUUUGUGCCCCGCUCAGCAAAAGCCCAGCUGGGAUCCUCUUGGUGGCCCAGACAGAGGCAGCCUUCCGUGACUUCUGCUGUCAUCCCAGUGGCCUCUGUCUCCAGAGCAGGUGGAGCAAGGAGGCUGUCUACUUGCUCCCUGGACCCAGCGGACAUAUUCCCAGAGACAGCUGGAAAUAUCAUUGUGAUGUCGGACACUGGAGAUGGGACAGGAGCCACACAGACCCAGCUUUGCCCUCCGGAACUCACAGCAUCCCAGCGGCCGGCAGGGAGAGAGAGGGCCAGCAAACAACUCCGCGAGGGGGUCCCGCGAUAACAUGCGAGAAGUGGGUGGAGAACGCCGGGCAAGCCUGGGUAGCCGAGGAGGGACAGACAAGCAGGUGCAUGGGCCGAGACAUGGAGGGUACCUGGGGACACCAUCCUGGGGCAGGAAACGGCAGGUGCAAAGGCCCCGGGGCCGGCUGAGCUGCUGGCUCCCUCGCUCAGGGAGCAUCUGAGCAGCACCUCCCAGAAGCCAGGGCUGUGCUCGUGUGCAUGGGCCAAGCUUCAGA
rnacentral:lncRNA from 1 species